rnacentral:rRNA from 1 species
CCUACGGGAGGCAGCAGUGAGGAAUUUUCCGCAAUGGGCGAAAGCCUGACGGAGCAAUACCGCGUGAGGGAUGAAGGAUUUUGGUCUGUAAACCUCUUUUCUCAAGAAAGAAGUUCUGACGGUACUUGAGGAAUAAGCAUCGGCUAACUCCGUGCCAGCAGCCGCGGUAAUACGGGGGAUGCAAGCGUUAUCCGGAAUGAUUGGGCGUAAAGCGCCUGUAGGUUGUUUAUUAAGUCCGUUGUUAAAGCCUAGGGCUCAACCCUAGAAAAGCAAUGGAAACUAGUAGACUAGAGUAUGGCAGGGGUAGAGGGAAUUUCUAGUGUAGCGGUGAAAUGCGUAGAUAUUAGAAAGAACACCGGUGGCGAAAGCGCUCUACUGGACCAUUACUGACACUCAGAGGCGAAAGCUAGGGUAGCAAAAGGGAUUAGAUACCCCUGUAGUCCUAGCCGUAAACGAUGGAUACUAGAUGUUGUGCAUUAUGUACAGUAUCGUAGCUAACGCGUUAAGUAUCCCGCCUGGGGAGUACGCUCGCAAGGGUGAAACGUCAAUGAAUUGACCGGNNGNGAGNGCGAGCGACGACGAGGAGAG